CCAAAAAUCACAAGCACGCGCAGAAGGUAGGCAAAUCCCUAGAUUCGUUCCCCACGCACGCUACCUGGGGCUCCCGCCGGUCGAUCCCACACCGUCCCACCGCCGCCCCGACACCGCCCGGGGCUACCGCCGGUCGAUCUCGACGCCGUACCACCGCCGCCCCAUACCGCCAUGCCUCUACAGCGCCGACCGACGCAGCCAUGCCUCUAAACGCCGCCGUGCCUCUAUAGCGCCGCUCCACGCCGUCCUGCCCCUUCAGCGCAGCCCAACGUCGUCCUGCAUCUCCACUGCCGGCCCAACGCCUUCCUUCUCUCUCUCCGGGUGGCCGCCUCUCUCCACGGCCACAUCCAGCACAGUUGCCGCCUUCCUCCCUGGCCCGACCUCCCCCAUGUCCACCACGAAAGCACACGCAGCGGUGGCGGCGAUUUGGAUCGGGGCAGCGUGCGGCUGGGCAAGGGCAUCGAUGCGGCUGAGGGAAAGGAUUACUCCGGCGGCGGGGAACGGGGAGCUCCGGCGGUGGGAAACGAGUAGAUGUUCCAGUGGACAAGGCACCUCAUGCUUUUAUUAUUCUCUGGUUCUCCGAUUUGCUGUGUACUGCUGCCAGCUAGUCUGAUUGUGAGAAGCUUUAUGGCAGCGAUAUGAACUAAUUUUAGAAGUUGAGCUGUUGUGUGCAAAUUUUGUUUAUUUCCAGUGCAAAUUUUGUGGUACCGAUAUGAACUAAUCUUUUUUUCCAUUGGUCAUUUAGUUCACCUUUCACUAAGAGUCAUGUUUACGGUGUUACUCUUGUUAUGCUUCUGCCCAAGAUAAGUUAAUUUUUGCUCUUCCAAAAAGGUUCCCCGGAUAUGUUUCCUGUUUUGUGCUUAGUCUGCCAUGAUGUGUUUAGUCUGCCACCGUGUUUAGUGUCUCUUUGUGCUUGAUAAGAGGAUUGUUCAAAUGUAAAAACUUUCUUUUUACAUGAGAUGACAUGGCUUUUGCCCCCUGUUUUCGCUGACUUGGUUUCUGCAGGUAGCAUAGUGUAUAACUGCUGGUAACAUUGAGUCGUCAAGGAGAAGUAGCAGGAGGAAAAAUGGCAAGCGCAAGUGGAAGCGGAAAAGCUAAAGGUGGUGGGGGUCAUGGAGGAACAUCUGAAAGCGGUAAGAGGUACAAGUUUGAUGCCGCGCUGAUUGAUGCACAACUUAUGAAAAGAUGUGACAGUAGAAUUAGUGAAGCUGACUGGAAGAACCUUAUUACUUACUGGAGAUCUUCGGUAUUUGAAGCUGUCAAACUUGUCCAUCAGCCUCGAAGAGAUCAAGUUUAUAUCGAGACAAAUACAUGCAAGAAAGGGGAUAAGAAAGGGAGUUAUGUGCCGCAGGCAGAAGCAACAAUUAAAUAUCUCGUAGGAAAGCUGAAAAGCGCACUGAAUGGAAGGAAAAAGCAUUCAAGAAGGUGAUCUAUUUGCACAUGUAUGUGGAAUGAAGGAGCCAAGGGGUCGUGUUCAUACUUCUGUAUGCAUGGACUGGUCAUGAAACUCCUGUUGCUCAGGCAACAAUUUCCAAAUUUGACCCGUAUUUGGUCAGGCAAGGUUCGCUUUUCCUUUAAUCAUGCAUAUUGAUUAUAAUAGUCUUAUGCUAUUUUAACCUUUGCACUGUGCUUUGUACAUAUAACUUAUACUAUGCGCAGAUAUAUUGUUUCCAUGUAAGAAAGUGUGAUGAAUAAAAAUAAGUCAAAAAAUAUAUACAAUGCCUUCUGAAUCUGAGCAAUAUCCCCACAAUUUUUUUUCUGUAUCACAAGAGACCACCAUGAUGAGUAUAUGUGUUCCAAUGAGCAGAUAGUGCUAGCUUAAUUUAUGAAUAAUGGAAAAAUAUAUUGAGGCUGUGAAGAAGGCUGCCAUCGAGACAAAGAGCGAGCACCCCAAGGAUUAAUGCGUGGCAUAGAAGGUUAUCAAAAGAACUAUGUCUUUUUGUUAAUUAAUUUCCUAGAUAAGUACACUCGCACAUGCAUCUUUGCGACAAAAUAAAAACUAAACUACUCUCUCUCUCUCUCUCUCUAAUGUUAUCAAAAGUACUAAUUGUGAAUUUCAUCUCUAUUUUCUCCAAAAACUCUGUUUGGUAUCCCUUUCACUGUAAGUUUAUUACUAUGUGAUUAGAGGAAUUAAGAUGUAUAUGUGCAUACUGUAAGAACAUGAUCAGUGGUGUACAGAUCCUAUGAAGUGAAAUACCCAACGCAGUUUAUACUCAACGCAGUCUAUGUGUACAGAUCCUGUGUGCAUAUUUUCUUUUUUCCUAGAUUUAUAGAAAAAUAGCAUAUGCGGCAUAAGCAAAAACUGUUUGUGAUGUAAACUAUGGUCUAACGAUUUAAGAUCGUCAUAGUUAUUCCCAUCUAAUAAUCUCAAACACAAAAAAGGUACCCCGUGUGUAUGCACAGGUCGAUGAAAAUGUCACACAAUUGAUUCUAUGCUGUAUCACCCAAUGUAUAGCAGCUUCCUUGACUUUAUUUUGUUCUCAUCGAGUGGCAUGGUAUUCUGCCAUGUUCCCCUGUCUAUGCAUCAUUGGCCCUUGGCCGGUGCUUCUCCUGUUGAGCGCCGAGGGGGAGAUUAAAUAAGAACAGCAGCAGAGCAACAUCGGCGUUGAAAAAGAGCAUCAGGGAGAUUAUUAUGCAUGGCAAAUUAAUACACUUCUAUAACUAUGUAAUUUCGAUAUUUAUUGUACUGAAGCUCCACUAUAACAACCAGUGCACUAAAUAACAACAACUUUUGUAAUCCAUGUGCAGUUCUAGGUUCUGGCUUUGUAGUGUGCAUUAUCUAGUUGAAAAAUGAAAUGAUGUGAAACUAUGUUCGAUCUUGCUGGUUUGCUGCUUGUCAACCUUGCUAUGCUGCUGUCUGCUGAAUUUUGGGUGUACGUCGAUGCAAAUGAACAUGGAAACGACUUCAGCUUCACAUUUUUUUACUAAGCCUCAUGAUGCUAAUGGUAGUUGGUUUCUAUACUCUGCAAGCCUCAUGAUGCUAAUUGAAAUAUCCUUUAUCAUGUUGCAGAUGCUAAGCAAAUGCUUUCGAUGCUACCUGUUCUUAUUCAGCUGCUAACUUUUCUUAAUCAUCUGAUUUCUUCUUUCAUUCAUGUAGGAAUGGCUAAAGGUACGCGCGCUUUUAAAAUUUCUAGAAGGGUACCCCUUUUCCUGUCAGUGGUAAUGAAUUCUCUUGAGUUGCUUUGAUGUUCAAGCUAGAGAAUGUUCUCCAAUGAGAUGAAGGAUGAAGGCUUUGAUGUCAAGUGCGAGAACGAUGCAACGAUCUUGUUGGAAGGCUGUGAGGAUGGGUAUGUAGUUGCCCACUACAAGGAGCCAAGGCAGAUGAUGUAUUGCAGAAAACAAAGCGACAAACUUUUGCUCUCAGACAGUGAACUAUCAUGUUUCCUCUAUUUAAUUAGUUACUUUAGUUUAUUUAUAGGAAACUUGGCUGGCCAUUCUUUCAUAACUAUUGAACUAUUUAUAUGUGAAAAUUAAUGAAUGUGUGUGACUAUUGUUUGGUUCUGGUUUAA